rnacentral:piRNA from 1 species
UGCUUAACGUAUCUCCCAUGUCUCACGAG